rnacentral:rRNA from 1 species
ACAUGUCUACAACAUAGCGUUAAUGCACUGAGUCCCAUUAGAACUCUGUGGUUAAGCGUGCUCGGGUUAGAGUAGUACUGGGAUGGGUGGCCGCAUGGGAAUUCCUAGUGUUUUACAUGCG